rnacentral:ncRNA from 1 species
AGCAGUUGAACAUGGGUCAGUCGGUCCUAAGCGAUAGGCGAGCGCCGUUCCGAAAGGGCGGGCGAUGGCCUCCGUUGCCCUCAGCCGAUCGAAAGGGAGUCGGGUUCAGAUCCCCGAAUCCGGAGUGGCGGAGACGGGCGCCGCGAGGCGCCCAGUGCGGUGACGCAACCGAUCCCGGAGAAGCCGGCGGGAGCCCCGGGGAGAGUUCUCUUUUCUUUGUGAAGGGCCGGGCGCCCUGGA